GCGCGCGAUACAGGGUGACAGCCCCGUACACAAAAAUGCACAUGCUGUGAGCUCGAUGAGUAGGGCGGGACACGUGGUAUCCUGUCUGAAUAUGGGGGGACCAUCCUCCAAGGCUAAAUACUCCUGACUGACCGAUAGUGAACCAGUACCGUGAGGGAAAGGCGAAAAGAACCCCGGCGAGGGGAGUGAAAAAGAACCUGAAACCGUGUACGUACAAGCAGUGGGAGCCUCUUUAUGGGGUGACUGCGUACCUUUUGUAUAAUGGGUCAGCGACUUAUAUUCUGUAGCAAGGUUAACCGAAUAGGGGAGCCGAAGGGAAACCGAGUCUUAACUGGGCGUUAAGUUGCAGGGUAUAGACCCGAAACCCGGUGAUCUAGCCAUGGGCAGGUUGAAGGUUGGGUAACACUAACUGGAGGACCGAACCGACUAAUGUUGAAAAAUUAGCGGAUGACUUGUGGCUGGGGGUGAAAGGCCAAUCAAACCGGGAGAUAGCUGGUUCUCCCCGAAAGCUAUUUAGGUAGCGCCUCGUGAAUUCAUCUCCGGGGGUAGAGCACUGUUUCGGCAAGGGGGUCAUCCCGACUUACCAACCCGAUGCAAACUGCGAAUACCGGAGAAUGUUAUCACGGGAGACACACGGCGGGUGCUAACGUCCGUCGUGAAGAGGGAAACAACCCAGACCGCCAGCUAAGGUCCCAAAGUCAUGGUUAAGUGGGAAACGAUGUGGGAAGGCCCAGACAGCCAGGAUGUUGGCUUAGAAGCAGCCAUCAUUUAAAGAAAGCGUAAUAGCUCACUGGUCGAGUCGGCCUGCGCGGAAGAUGUAACGGGGCUAAACCAUGCACCGAAGCUGCGGCAGCGACGCUUAUGCGUUGUUGGGUA
rnacentral:rRNA from 1 species